rnacentral:rRNA from 1 species
UACAGAGGGUGCGAGCGUUGUUCGGAAUUACUGGGCGUAAAGCGCGCGUAGGUGGUGUGUUAAGUCUGCCGGUCAAAUGCCGAGGCUCAACCUCGUUGCACGCCGGGGAUACUGGCACGCUAGAGACAAGUAGAGGCAAGCGGAAUUCCGGGUGUAGCGGUGGAAUGCGUAGAGAUCCGGAAGAACACCGGAGGCGAAGGCGGCUCACUGGACCAUUACUGACGCUGAGGCACGAAAGCUAGGGGAGCAAACAGG